rnacentral:lncRNA from 1 species
UAGGACUGUGCUCCACAAUCGUUUUCAGCCAGUUAAUCAGAUAGACUUUUAUCAAGCCACCUUGCAGACCUCAACCAUCAGAAGUUCCUUUUCGCAUAAGGUGCGAUUUAAAAGUUUCUUAGCCCUCCUCAUCAGUGCUUUCAUGUGUGUGGCCAACAAUGAUGGAGCACCCAGGAACAAGUGAUAUUCUCAAAGAGAAUCACAUUUACUCCUUCAUCCGACUGAACCAUGGCACUGCCUGGCACUACCCCAACAAUCACAUAUUGAAGCCUGAGGAAGUAUAUAAGCUACUUUGAACUAGGUGAUUUGUGAUUGUUUUGUUCAUACCAUGCAUGAUAUGAUCUUAAUUCCCAGACACGGGAUUAAACCCAUAAUCCCCUGAAGUGUAGGUGCAGAAUCUCACCCACUGAACCACCAGGAAAUUCCCUGAAUUGGGUUUUUUAAAUGAUCUAUUAACCACCAAUGAGCUUCCUGGGUGGAGCAGUAGUAAAGAAUCCACCUGUCAAGCAGCAGAGGCGGGUUUGAUCUCUGGGUUGGGAAGAUCCCCUGGAGAAGGAAAUGGCAACCCACUCCAGUAUUCUUGCCUGGGAAAUUACAUGGACAAAGGAGCCUAUUAAUAAGAUCACAAAGUUCAUAGCAUCGCAAAGAGGCAGACACAACUUAGUGACUAAACAACGACAUUAACUGCCAAGGCAGUGUUUCUACUGCAGCCCUAUAGCUACCAUUUAAAGUAGCAAUAUCUGAUUUUGCAAUCUACUU